GACGAACGCUGGCGGCGUGCCUAAUACAUGCAAGUUGAGCGCUGAAGGUUGGUUCUUGUACCGACUGGAUGAGCAGCGAACGGGUGAGUAACGCGUGGGGAAUCUGCCUUUGAGCGGGGGACAACAUUUGGAAACGAAUGCUAAUACCGCAUAAAAACUUUAAACACAAGUUUUAAGUUUGAAAGAUGCAAUUGCAUCACUCAAAGAUGAUCCCGCGUUGUAUUAGCUAGUUGGUGAGGUAAAGGCUCACCAAGGCGAUGAUACAUAGCCGACCUGAGAGGGUGAUCGGCCACAUUGGGACUGAGACACGGCCCAAACUCCUACGGGAGGCAGCAGUAGGGAAUCUUCGGCAAUGGACGAAAGUCUGACCGAGCAACGCCGCGUGAGUGAAGAAGGUUUUCGGAUCGGAAAACUCUGUUGGUAGGGAAGAACGUUGGUGAGAGUGGAAAGCUCAUCAAGUGACGGUAACUACCCAGAAAGGGACGGCUAACUACGUG
rnacentral:rRNA from 1 species